CUUUAGGAUGUCACUGUGCCUUUGGCCGGAGCUCAUUCUGCUGCCAGGAUGAGUCACCUCGAAGAUAAGAGUCGCAGUCAUUUGUGAGCUGGGUGUUACCACACUUGGCAGAACUUGGAUUCUAUUGUGUCCGGAAUUGGUGGGUUCUUGGUCUUUCUGACUUCAAGAAAUGAAGCCACAGACCCUCGAGGUGAAACCAGAGAGAGCUUGACCUCAAUGUGGGUACCGACGGUCUAAUUUCCUGAUGCUUGGAGGAGGACAUGUAAGAGGGACUGCUGGACUCUGCAGAGGGAGAAGGAUGCGCUGAGACAUUCCAUUCCAACUCUCUCACAAAGCUACCCAUGAAUCCCUCAGAGCCAGGGUGAGAACCCAGGGAUGAAUGAAGUGGAUACAGUUAGGGCGCUAAAACCAGGAAUUCUUCUCUUCGUGUGAUAUUUAUAGGAGUUGCACAUAAAAAGUAACUCAGCCACCAUUACCAUCAUUGCCGUCAUCACCAUUACCCCGAGAGAGGAGCAUCGGCUCAAUGUCCUGUAAUGUCCAAAAAC
rnacentral:lncRNA from 1 species